UUUGUACUCCCUCCGUCCCAAAAUUCUUGUCUUACAUUUGUUUAGAUACAGAUAUAUCUAGUAGAUACAUCCGUAUUUAGACAAAUUUAAGACAAGAAUUUUGGGACAGAGGGAAUACUAC
rfam:Triticum aestivum genome assembly, contig: Triticum_aestivum_CS42_TGACv1_scaffold_221421_3B